rnacentral:lncRNA from 1 species
GGGGCUCCUGGCAUCCACUGCUGGCUCUGUCGGUGAUGCUUGGGCCUCUGACCAUCUUAGAUGGUCCGUCAGCAAUCUGGAGCCUCCCAGCUGCAGCCCUGGGUCCAUAUGGCAGAGUGACUGCCUGCCAGAUAUGUGUAAAUGCCCCAGCAGAAGUCACCAGAUCCAUAGCUGGAGGGAGCAGAGGGUAUGACUCCUUUCUCAGAGCUGAGUGAGGUCAGGGCAGCCUCACGUCUUCACUGGGGACCGGGCUGAAGGCUCAGAGAGGCUGGGCAAGCCAGAAGGAAUGGAAAGAGCCUUGAGGCGGGAUGGUGUCAUGAUAACCUGACUCCCUGCCCAGGGUUGUCCUGGAGAAGCCUCUUACCUUGUGCGGGGAGGACUUCAUGUCACAUUCCAGGAGAUGAUGGUACAUCCUACCACACUGACGGUAAACAAGGGCAUCAGCUUCGAGCUGCGGGAAAGAAAGCCUCUGCGGAGAGGAAGACUGCAAUUUGAAGUUUGCAGAGCCCUGGAUGGCAGUGGUGGUGAUUGCACCACCAGGGUCACGCCAUGUGCCCCCUGUCCUGCACGCUCACCUGGACCCUGCUCUAGGAGACGCGGGUGUCCUCAGAGCCACCCCUUCGGCUCUCCCCCAGCGCCAGGAUCCGGGCACAGGUGUUCACGUGGAGAUGGUUCCAGCAUGGAAACACAGCCCUUCCCCACUCUGGGUACAAGCUCAGGCCAGGGCUCUGUCUUCUGAGUCACAUUUGGGAGGGUAAAAGCACACCCAUGUUCCGUAAAUGCUUCUCGGGGGGCGUGGGAUUGUCACAGGGACUGAAGGACCAGCCUUGGCUUGGGUCGGGCUUGAAAAGAGACAGGAAAAGUCACCUGGAAAAGGACUUUGGAAAAUAAAGAAAGGAAAGGCGGUUUAAAGAGACUCAUGUGUAGGUUUCAGAAGCA